rnacentral:rRNA from 1 species
UGGCUCAGGACGAACGCUGGCGGCGUGCUUCAUACAUGCAAGUCGAACGAGAAGCUGACUUCGGUCAGUGGAAAGUGGCGGACGGGUGAGUAAUAUGUAGAGAAUCUGCCCUUGAGUGGGGGACAACAGAGGGAAACUUCUGCUAAUACCCCAUAUGAGCUAACUUGAAAUAGUUAUCUUGAAAACUCCGGUGCUCAAGGAUGAGUCUGCAUCUGAUUAGCUAGUUGGCGGUGUAAUGGACCACCAAGGCGACGAUCAGUAGCUGGUUUGAGAGGAUGAUCAGCCACAAUGGGACUGAGACACGGCCCAUACUCCUACGGGAGGCAGCAGUAGGGAAUUUUGCGCAAUGGGCGAAAAAGCCUGACGCAGCAACGCCGCGUGAACGAUUAAGCCCUUCGGGGUGUAAAGUUCUGUCAGUAGGGACGAAUUUUGACGGUACCUACAGAGGAAGCACCGGCUAACUCCGUGCCAGCCGCGGC